rnacentral:lncRNA from 10 species
CCUGCAUCCAACCAGGCAACGAGCGCCUUUCGGGUUCUCCCGGAUGUCUGCCAAGAGGCGUCGUGCAGGGAGGGGGAGAAAAGACUGGGAAAACGAUAUCUCGGAGGCCACAGCUGCUUUUAAAGGGUAUGCACCCUGAUUUCCAUGGCCACCUGGGACAAUGCCACGCCACUGAAGUCGCCAGCAAGGGACCCAUUCUUCAAUCCUGCUUCUGAGGCCCUGGGAAACCUGCUUCACCUCUCUCAGAUUUGGGGAUUGAAACGUAUUAAUAAAUUGAACGUUGUCUGUAUUUCGUUUGUGGGCCUUUUUGUAAAACAUUGAAUGUCCUUCUAAUUUUUCUAACAUAUAAAGAAAAGAGAUGUAAUUAGCUACCUUUCUGCUGGCUGUACAGGAAGCAUGGUGCCCGUAUCUGCUUCUGGUGAGGCCACAGGGAACUUUUAUUCAUGGCGAAAAGUGAAGGAGGAACUUACAUGUAACAUGACGAAAACAUGAGCCUCUUCUAAUUCAUUGCUUCCCAAUUUGAUAUGUAGUUUUACAGCAUCAGCUUCACUAUGAACUUAAAAAACCUGUGAAUUCUUGGACCCAACCUAUACCUUCUGAUAAACUCUGGGGAUGGGACCCUAGCUGAAGUUCAAGAACUGGAGGUCUUUUAAAGUCAUUAGCCAAAAACAAAACAAAACAAAAACAAACAAAAAAAAAUCAGUAAGAUGAAAAACAC